rnacentral:rRNA from 1 species
GACGAAGGAUGCAAGCGUUAUCCGGAUUCAUUGGGUUUAAAGGGAGCGUAGGUGGCCUUAUAAGUCAGUGGUGAAAUCUCGCAGCUUAACUGCGAAAUUGCCAUUGAUACUGUAGGGCUUGAGUAUAGUUGCCGUUGGCGGAAUAUGACAUGUAGUGGUGAAAUACAUAGAGAUGUCAUAGAACACCGAUUGCGAAGGCAGCUAACGAAACUAUAACUGACACUGAGGCUCGAAAGCGUGGGGAGCAAACAGG